rnacentral:lncRNA from 1 species
UUUCUACCAAAUUUCUUCUAAUUUCUAAGUAUUUCUACUAAAUUCCUAUAAAUUUCUAGUAAUUUGUAAGAAUUUCUACCAAAUUUCUACUAAUUUCUACUAAUUUUCAAAGCAUUUGUACUAAAUCAUGGUAAUUGCUAAAAGUUAUACAAAAAUAUACGAUGCAUUUGAACUAAAUUAUACUAAUUUCCUACUAAUUAUAGUAAUUUCCUACAGAGUUUCAACUAAUAAUAG